ACGAGUUUGAUCCUGGCUCAGGACGAACGCUGGCGGCGUGCCUAACACAUGCAAGUCGAGCGAAGUGCUUAAGACAGAUUCUUUCGGGAUGAAGUCUUAAGUAUCUUAGCGGCGGACGGGUGAGUAACGCGUGAGAAACCUGCCUUUUACAAAGGGAUAGCCUCGGGAAACUGGGAUUAAUACCUUAUGAUACUUUAUUGCCCCAUGGCAUAAAAGUUAAAGCGUAAAGCGGUAAAAGAUGGUCUCGCGUCCCAUUAGUUAGUUGGUGAGGUAACGGCUCACCAAGACUACGAUGGGUAGCCGGCCUGAGAGGGUGAUCGGCCACACUGGAACUGAGACACGGUCCAGACUCCUACGGGAGGCAGCAGUGGGGAAUAUUGCACAAUGGAGGAAACUCUGAUGCAGCGACGUCGCGUGAACGAUGAAGGCUUUCGAGUCGUAAAGUUCUGUCCUAGGGGACGAUAAUGACGGUACCCUAGGAGGAAGCCCCGGCUAACUACGUG
rnacentral:rRNA from 1 species